CAGCCUUCCAUCUUUCCAAGAUCGGUAAAAUGAUAACCCAGAUUGUUGGGGGGCAAUAUGCUGACUCUGUAAACAGCUUAGAGAGGGAUGUAAAGCACUAUAAAGCAGUAUAUAAGUCUAAGUGCUAUUGCUAUUG